GACGAACGCUGGCGGCGUGCUUAACACAUGCAAGUCGAACGAAGAGCGAUGGAAGCUUGCUUCUAUCAAUCUUAGUGGCGAACGGGUGAGUAACGCGUAAUCAACCUGCCCUUCAGAGGGGGACAACAGUUGGAAACGACUGCUAAUACCGCAUACGAUCUAAUCUCGGCAUCGAGGAUGGAUGAAAGGUGGCCUCUAUUUAUAAGCUAUCACUGAAGGAGGGGAUUGCGUCUGAUUAGCUAGUUGGAGGGGUAACGGCCCACCAAGGCGAUGAUCAGUAGCCGGUCUGAGAGGAUGAACGGCCACAUUGGGACUGAGACACGGCCCAGACUCCUACGGGAGGCAGCAGUGGGGGAUCUUCCGCAAUGGACGAAAGUCUGACGGAGCAACGCCGCGUGAGUGAUGACGGCCUUCGGGUUGUAAAGCUCUGUUAAUCGGGACGAAAGGCCUUCUUGCGAACAGUUAGAA
rnacentral:rRNA from 1 species